rnacentral:lncRNA from 10 species
GAGAUUUCCAACCUCUUGCAUCCCCUCCUCUAGGGCUCAUGGGACCUCUGGUUCUGAAUGCAUAUUCCCCUAAAAUCAAAGAACUUGAAGACUGAAAAAGACCAUGGUUAUUGUCAACUUAAGUGGUCUCCAAGAUGGGCUAUAAGACACCAGAUUGAAGUGUAAGAAGAAAAUAUGAGAACAUUUAAGAGUAUUUCUUUUUGAGCUUGAAAUUUAAAAAGAUAUUCAGCUUUACUAAUAUUCAUGGUGGUGCUCUUGCUCAGGAGACCUUAGUGGCUGACAGAGAACCUAAACCCUGGCUUGCAACUCGAGGCUGUGUGAAAGGAAUCGGAACUUACUUCUCACGGUGACUCGAAUCCACGUGCUGAGGAUGGGGCUGUGAACGUUAUCAGCUGCACAGUAGUAUCUCCCUGCAUCACUCUCCUUCACGGUGAGAACAUGCAGCUCUGCCAACAGGGAACGCUGGGUCUUUCUACCCAGGCUUCUUACUCUUCCUUCUUUGUGCCAGGAGAAUGUGACAGUCCCUGAACCCUGGGCUACUGAGCAAAUAAGGACCAUAUUUUCUCCUUCAAUCAGCUGCCCUCCGGUGGGCCGGAUCUCUAGAUUCACAUUAGACACAGGGACUCCUGGGGGAACACAAGAUGGCAUGUGAAGGUCCUGAUGGCAGGGACAUCAAGGUCAAGGGGAAGGCUGGAGCUACCAUGAAUAGGCCAAUAGCAGCAGGUGCAGCAGGCAGAAGCCCAAAGUAGGAAAUAAGA